UACGGAGGGGGCUAGCGUUGUUCGGAAUUACUGGGCGUAAAGCGCACGUAGGCGGCUUAGUAAGUUAGAGGUGAAAGCCCGGGGCUCAACUCCGGAAUUGCCUUUAAGACUGCAUCGCUAGAAUUGUGGAGAGGUAAGUGGAAUUCCGAGUGUAGAGGUGAAAUUCGUAGAUAUUCGGAAGAACACCAGUGGCGAAGGCGACUUACUGGACACAUAUUGACGCUGAGGUGCGAAAGCGUGGGGAGCAAACAGG
rnacentral:rRNA from 1 species